rnacentral:rRNA from 1 species
AUUGAACGCUGGCGGCAGGCCUAACACAUGCAAGUCGAACGGUAACAGGAAGAAGCUUGCUUCUUUGCUGACGAGUGGCGGGCGGGUGUGUAAUGUCUGGGAAACUGCCUGAUGGAGGGGGAUAACUACUGGAAACGGUAGCUAAUACCGCAUAACGUCGCAAGACCAAAGAGGGGGACCUUCGGGCCUCUUGCCAUCGGAUGUGCCCAGAUGGGAUUAGCUAGUAGGUGGGGUAACGGCUCACCUAGGCGACGAUCCCUAGCUGGUCUGAGAGGAUGACCAGCCACACUGGAACUGAGACACGGUCCAGACUCCUACGGGAGGCAGCAGUGGGGAAUAUUGCACAAUGGGCGCAAGCCUGAUGCAGCCAUGCCGCGUGUAUGAAGAAGGCCUUCGGGUUGUAAAGUACUUUCAGCGGGGAGGAAGGGAGUAAAGUUAAUACCUUUGCUCAUUGACGUUACCCGCAGAAGAAGCACCGGCUAACUCCGUG